rnacentral:rRNA from 1 species
GACAGAGGGUGCAAACGUUGUCCGGAGUUACUGGGCGUAAAGGGCACGCAGGCGGUGCGGCGCGUUUCGCGUGACAGCGGAGGGCUUAACUCUCCGAGGAUGCGAAAGACGGCGGCACUUGAGGGCCAGAGAGGGACACGGAAUUCCGGGUGGAGUGGUGAAAUGCGUAGAGAUCCGGAGGAAGACCGGUGGCGAAGGCGGAUCUCUGGACAGUUCCUGACGCUGAGGCGCGAAGGCCAGGGGAGCAAACGGG